rnacentral:misc_RNA from 1 species
AAAACAUGUAGAAAGUAAAUACAAUAUAUUUGAAAGUGCAGAAUAAUAGAAUACAGGAUAGGAGGAAUUGCUUUAAUAAAUUUGUUACUAUUAGGAAAGAUGAAGAAGGCAUCUCAAGGAUUUGCCAUCGAGAAGCAGUUGAAAAGCUUCAUUGAUCUUCUCAAAUGGUAGUCUGUGAGUAAUAAACUCGUCUAAUUUGACCACCCCAGCCAUGCAUUGUUCAGCUAAAAAAGGGAGUUGGGAUUUUCCUUUGAAGUCACCAAAGACAGAAGCCACAAUCCUUCUGCCAUCGAACAGUUCCAUUGGAUGGAGUGAUAGCAAUUUUGGUGUCGGAUGAAUUCCUAAAACGAUUGCCAUGCCCCAUCCAUCAUGUGUGGAUAAAAAUGCCUCUCGAAGAACUUGCAUAUUUCCAGCACACUCAAAGCUAUAGUCCACGCCCCCCUCGCUCAUUUCCCUUAUUUUCUCAUGGACGGGCACAUCGAUUUCUUUGGGAUUGAUGAAGUCAGUAAUUCCAAUUGCUUCACCUUUAAUACGUUUUUCAGGGUUAAUAUCCACCCCUAUGAUCUUUGAGGCGCCUCUGGUCCGUGCCCCUUCAACAACGGCCAAACCAACAGCUCCUAAUCCAAAGACUGCCACCGUUUCCCCUGUUUGAACGUCAGCCGUGUUCCACGCAGCCCCUAGACCAGUGGAUACGCCGCAGCUAAGCAAGGUCAUCUUGUCAAGUGAGGCAUGAGGGUCAAUUUUGACUAAGCAAGCAGAAUCAACAACAGUGUAUUCGGUGAAUGUUGAAGUACUAAGAAAAUGAUAAAUGGGUAUGCCAUCCUUGUUCCUGAACCUGCAUUUUCCGUCACUUUCCAUCACACUUUUGAAUGGAUUGACGCGGAACUUGCCACACAAGUUGGUUUUCUUUGAUGAUUUGCAAUAUAUGCACUCUCCGCAUUCACCAUUGAAAAUCGCUACGACUUGAUCUCCCUCUUUCAUGUCAAUUACACCUUCUCCCACGCUCUCCACCACUCCCGAUGCUUCAUGUCCCAGAAUUCGAGGAUAAGCUCGUUGAGCUUCGCUCUCGCCUUUCCAAGCACUGAGAUCCGUGUGACAGAUGGAAGUAAAGAGAAUCUUAAUUCGGACCUCCAUUUUCUGAGGUGGAUCUACCUGCACUUGUUCUACCACCAACGGCUGCCCUGGACCAUACGCUACAGCAGCUCUGCAACUGAUGACCUUGCCCUUUGGAGCCAUGUUUCAAUUUUG